AUGACCAUGCCACACAAGAUGAAGAAGGUCAUGAAGAAAAUAGAUGAAAUCGAAAAGGAGGGCAAAACGAGGCUCAAUGAUGCGCCUGGAGCAGCAAGGGCACAAGGGAGCAGGCACAUUGAUACUUUUGCAGCCACCUCGAAUGGUGAUGACACCAAAACUGGAAUGGUGGGGAUGAGUAAAGAGAGGGAGAAGAUAAUCAGUCAUGUGCCUCAAGCAGCAAAGGCAGAAGGUAGCAGAAAAACAGGGAUGGUGGGGAGGGAUGCCCAGAAGGAGAAGAUAAUCAGCCUGCUACUCACAAGUCAAGAAGCUAACCAGCAGGAUAUCUCCAUCAUUCCAGUUGUUGGCCUUGGUGGCAUAGGCAAGACCACAUUGGCUGAAUCGGUUCUUGCAGAUAAGAGGGUCAGUGUCUUUGACGCCUUAGUCUGGGUCCAUGUGUCCAAGGAAUUUGAUUUGCACAAAAUUGGGAGUGCCAUCCUGAAAAGCUUGGUUAGCAACAUCAACCUUAACAAUUGUACUAUGCAGUUUCUGUAUGAUAAUCUGAGCAAAGAACUUGCUACUAGAAUAUACUUGAUUGUUUUGGAUGAUCUCUGCUUUGCAGGUGAUGAGUAG
rnacentral:rRNA from 1 species